UUGGGACAAGGACAACCUCGGGAAACUGAGGCUAAUCCUUGAUAGGUGAGAACUCCUGGAAUGGAUUCUUUCUCAAAAGAUGCUUUGAUCAUGCUUCUAGGCAUCGCCCAAGGAGGGGGCCGCGGCCGAUCAGGUUGUUGGUGAGGUAACGGCUCACCAAGCCUCUGACCGGUACGGGCCGUGAGAGCGGAAGCCCGGAGAUGGGCACUGAGACAAUGGCCCAGGCCCUACGGGGCGCAGCAGUCGCGAAAACUCCGCAAUACACGAAAGUGUGACGGGGCUAUCCCGAGUGCCAUCCGCUGAGGAUAGCUUUUCCCCAGUGUAUAAAGCUGGGAGAAUAAGGAGAGGGCAAGACUGGUGUCAGCCGCCGCGGUAAUACCAGCUCUCCGAGUGGUGGGGAUGUUUAUUGGGCCUAAAGCAUUCGUAGCCUGCUAGCCAAGUCCUCCGUUAAAUCCACCGAUUCAAUCGUUGGGCUGCGGGGGAUACUGUCUAGCUAGGGGGCGGAAGAGGCCGACGGUAUCCCCGGGGUAGGGGUGAAAUCCUAUAAUCCCGGGUGGACCACCAGUGGCGAAGGCUGUCGGCUAGAACGCGCUCGACGGUGAGGGAUGAAAGCUGGGGGAGCGAACCGGAUUAGAUACCCGGGUAGUCCCAGCUGUAAACGAUGCAGGCUAGGUGUUGGCGCGGCUACGUGCCGCUCCAGUGCCGCAGGGAAGCCGUUAAGCCUGCCGCCUGGGAAGUACGGCCGCAAGGCUGAAACUUAA
rnacentral:rRNA from 1 species